CCUACGCGCGGCAGCAGUGAGGAAUAUUGGUCAAUGGGCGCGAGCCUGAACCAGCCAAGUAGCGUGAAGGAUGACUGCCCUACGGGUUGUAAACUUCUUUUAUAAAGGAAUAAAGUGAGGCACGUGUGCCUUUUUGUAUGUACUUUAUGAAUAAGGAUCGGCUAACUCCGUGCCAGCAGCCGCGGUAAUACGGAGGAUCCGAGGGUUAUCCGGAUUUAUUUGGUUUAAAGGGAGCGUAGAUGGGUUGUUCAGUCAGUUGUGAAAGUUUGCGGCUCAACCGUAAAAUUGCAAUUGAUACUGGCAGUCUUGAGUACAGUUGAGGGAGGCGGAAUGCGUGGUGUAGCGGUGAAAUGCGUAGAGAUCACGAAGAACUCCGAGUGCGAAGGCAGCUUACUAAACUGCCACUGACAUUGAUGCUCGAAAGUGUGGGUAGCAAACAGGAUUAGAUACCCGGGUAGUC
rnacentral:rRNA from 1 species